GCUGAACGUCGGCUGAAUGUCUGUUUGACCAUUCAUCGGCCAACAGACACAAAACCGACGUUUCACC
rnacentral:pre_miRNA from 1 species